CUAAGGGCAUAUGGUGGAUGUCUUGGUGCUGGGAUCGAUAAAGGACGUGGUAAGCUGCGAUAAGCCUCGGGGAGGCGCAAACAGCCUUUGAUCCGGGGGUCUCCGAAUGGGGAAACCCAGCUCUGCUAAACCGGAGCUAUCCACAUCUGAAUACAUAGGGUGUGGAGGACAACCGGGGGAACUGAAACAUCUUAGUACCCCGAGGAAAAGAAAGCGAGUGCGAUUCCCUGAGUAGUGGCGAGCGAAAAGGGAACAGCCCAAACCAGUUGGGUGUUAAACCUGCAGGUGCUGCCCAACUGGGGUUGUAGGAGCUACCAGGCGCUGCUGCAGAAGUGCCAGGGAGUUAAAAAACUUAAGGGUAGUCGAAGGGCUUGGAAAAGUCCGCCAGAGAGGGUGAAAGCCCCGUAGACGAAAUCCUUAAGUCUCCCGGUAGUUUCCUGAGUACCACGGGACACGGGAAAUCCUGUGGGAAUCUGGCCCGACCACGGGUUAAGGCUAAAUACUCCCCAGCGACCGAUAGUGGACUAGUACCGUGAGGGAAAGAUGAAAAGAACCCCGUUGAGGGGAGUGAAAUAGAACCUGAAACCAUGUGCUUACAAGCAGUCGGAGCCCUCUAUCGGUUAUCCUUUUGGGUGCCGAUAUGGUGACGGCGUGCCUUUUGUAGAAUGAACCGGCGAGUUACGGUGCGUAGCGAGGUUAAGGCCGAUGAAUCGGCCGGAGUCGUAGCGAAAGCGAGUCCUAAUAGGGCGUUUAGUUGCGUGUCGUAGACCCGAAGCUGAGUGAUCUAUCCAUGGCCAGGGUGAAGUCUCAGUAAAACGGGAUGGAGGCCCGGACCCACUGGUGUUGAAAAACCAGGGGAUGAGCUGUGGAUAGGGGUGAAAGGCUAAUCAAACUCAGUGAUAGCUGGUUCUCCCCGAAAUAGCUUUAGGGCUAGCCUCAGGUGUUUAGCUUUGGGGGUAGAGCACUGGUUGGGCUAGGGGCCCUAACAGGUUACCAAACCCAGCCAAACUCCGAAUACCAAAGCUUGAGAGCUUGGGAGUCAGACUGUGGGGGAUAAGCUUCAUGGUCAAAAGGGGAACAGCCCAGACCACCAGCUAAGGUCCCAAAGUGUGAGCUAAGUGGAGAAGGAUGUGGAAUCGCCGAGACAGCCAGGAGGUUGGCUUAGAAGCAGCUAUCCUUUAAAGAGUGCGUAAUAGCUCACUGGUCAAGCGAUUCUGCGCCGAAAAUUUAACGGGGCUUAAGCUCAUCACCGAAGCUGUGGGCGAACUUCGUUCUCACUUGUUGAUUCAAUAUUCCGUUAAAUUUCGUGUGAGAAACGAUGGAAUCGUUUCGAACACCAAAUUAUCCCAAGGGGAUAAGCUUUGUGAAGCGAAUCCAAGGGGAUAAGCUUUGUGAAGCGAAUCCAAGGGGAUAAGCUUUGUGAAGGUGAGUUUAGAAGUGAGAACGAAGGGCGCGGUAGGGGAGCAUUCCCUGCGGGACGAAGUUGAGUCGCAAGGCUUGGUGGACUGUAGGGAAGAGAGAAUGCCGGUAUAAGUAGCGAGAUCCCGAUGAGAAAUCGGGACGCCGUAAGCCUAAGGUUUCCUGGGGAAGGUUAAUCCGCCCAGGGUUAGCCGGGACCUAAGCCGAGGCCGAAAGGCGUAGGCGAUGGACAGCUGGUUGAUAUUCCAGCGCCACCAGGUCGCGUUCCCUUCGGGGUGAAGCGAUGGGGUGACGCAGAAGGGUAGGCCAUCGCGGCGUUGGUCGUCCGCGUUUAAGCACGUAGGGGGCGAGGAUAGGCAAAUCCGUCCUCGUAUUAACCCUAAGGUGUGAUGACGAGCCAAUUUAGGCGAAGUGACUGAUCCCACACUGCCGAGAAAAACCUCUAGCAAGCGACUUGGUGCCCGUACCGUAAACCGACGCAGGUAGGCGGGUAGAGGAUACUCAGGCGAUCGAGCAAACCCUCGUUAAGGAACUCGGCAAAAUGACCCCGUAACUUUGGGAGAAGGGGUGCCUCAUUAGCGUGAACUCCUCACGGGGGGAGCGUGAAGAGGUUGCAGAGAAACAGCCCAGGCGACUGUUUACUAAAAACACAGGUCUCUGCUAAGCCGCGAGGCGAAGUAUAGGGGCUGACGCCUGCCCGGUGCCGGAAGGUUAAGGGGACGGGUUAUCUCCCGACUUUGUCGGGAGAGAAGCUCUAAACCUAAGCCCCGGUAAACGGCGGCCGUAACUAUAACGGUCCUAAGGUAGCGAAAUUCCUUGUCGGGUAAGUUCUAACUUGCCCCUUAUGGAAGAGAUUCCAUAAGCAAAACCGGCUCAUAUCGGUGAAGCCCUAUCGCAUUGUAAUAAGGUGAGGGUAAUACCGAGGGAAGCUGUCCCAAUUAAGUUGGGAUUAGCCCCGUAACGACUGACCUCUGAUAAAAUCGGGGGAGAUAGCAACUACUGCCAAUCGGCAAAUCUAAAGUUGCUAUAACACGCCGGUAUCUGAGUUUGGGGGUUUGAGAUGGACAUUGUAUCUUAUCUUUCCGGCUACGCUGAUGGUGAAGGAUGCUUUUGUGUAACCUUUAAUCGAAGCAAACGUCAUGCUUUAGGUUGGGACAUUAGAUCUAGCUUUUCUGUGAGUCAGAAUCAUGACCGCGCUGAGAUUUUAGGGUUGUUUAAAAGCCAGUUUGGUUGUGGAACAAUUAGACCUGACAGGUCAGAUAAGACGCUAAAAUAUGAAGUCAGAAGCAUUCGGGAACUAUUAGCAAAGAUCAUUCCGCAUUUUGAGCGAUAUCCGCUUAUCUCUAGCAAACGACAUGAUUUUGAGAUAUUUGCGGAGAUAUGCCGGAUGAUGAGUAGGAAAGAGCAUCUGAUGCCAAAGGGCUUUAAUAAGAUUGCUGAACUUGCAUCAGAAAUGAACACUUCAGGCAAGAAGAAAUACCCCCGAACCAAGAUAAAGGUAUAGUCUACACCUCUGGUAACAGGGGAGCAAUGUGAAGUUCCGACCUGCACGAAAGGCGUAACGACUUGGGCGCUGUCUCGACGAGGGGCUCGGCGAAAUUGUACUACUCGUGAAGAUGCGAGUUACCCGCAACUGGACGGAAAGACCCCGUGAACCUUUACUGUAGCUUGACAUUGGACUUUGCUGCGUCAUGUGCAGGAUAGGUGGGAGGCAGUGAAGCCCCGACGCCAGUCGGGGUGGAGCCGCCCUU
rnacentral:rRNA from 1 species